rnacentral:misc_RNA from 1 species
CGCACAUUGCGCCCACUAGUAUUCUGGUGGGCAUGCCUGUUCGAGCGUCAUUAAGUCCACUCAAGCACACCUGCUUGGUAUUGGGAGACUACUCUACCGUAGCUCCCCAAAGACAACGGCGGAGUCGUGUCAUCCUCUGAGCUUAGUAAUUACUUUCUAGCUUGCGAGCGAGGCGCGUCCCCUGCCGUAAAACCCCCAUCUUUUUAAUGGUUGACCUCGGAUCAGGUAGGAAUACCCGCUGAACUUAA